UACGGGGGGGGCAAGCGUUGUUCGGAAUUACUGGGCGUAAAGGGCUCGUAGGCGGCCAACUAAGUCAGACGUGAAAUCCCUCGGCUUAACCGGGGAACUGCGUCUGGUACUGGAUGGCUUGAGUUUGGGAGAGGGAUGCGGAAUUCCAGGUGUAGCGGUGAAAUGUGUAGAGAUCGGGAGGAACACCGGUGGCGAAGGCGGGUCUCUGGGCAAUUCCUGACGCUGAGGCGCGAAAGCGUGGGGAGCAAACGGG
rnacentral:rRNA from 1 species